rnacentral:rRNA from 1 species
GACGAACGCUGGCGGCGUGCCUAAUACAUGCAAGUAGAACGCUGAAGAGAGGAGCUUGCUCUUCUUGGAUGAGUUGCGAACGGGUGAGUAACGCGUAGGUAACCUGCCUGGUAGCGGGGGAUAACUAUUGGAAACGAUAGCUAAUACCGCAUAAAAUGGAUUAUCGCAUGAUAAUCCAUUGAAAGGUGCAAAUGCAUCACUACCAGAUGGACCUGCGUUGUAUUAGCUAGUUGGUGGGGUAACGGCUCACCAAGGCGACGAUACAUAGCCGACCUGAGAGGGUGAUCGGCCACACUGGGACUGAGACACGGCCCAGACUCCUACGGGAGGCAGCAGUGGGGAAUAUUGCGCAAUGGGGGCAACCCUGACGCAGCCAUGCCGCGUGAAUGAAGAAGGCCUUCGGGUUGUAAAGUUCUUUCGGUAGCGAGGAAGGCAUUUAGUUUAAUAAACUGGAUGAUUGACGUUAACUACAGAAGAAGCACCGGCUAACUCCGUGCCAGCAGCCGCGGUAAUACGGAGGGUGCGAGCGUUAAUCGGAAUAACUGGGCGUAAAGGGCACGCAGGCGGUGACUUAAGUGAGGUGUGAAAGCCCCGGGCUUAACCUGGGAAUUGCAUUUCAUACUGGGUCGCUAGAGUACUUUAGGGAGGGGUAGAAUUCCACGUGUAGCGGUGAAAUGCGUAGAGAUGUGGAGGAAUACCGAAGGCGAAGGCAGCCCCUUGGGAAUGUACUGACGCUCAUGUGCGAAAGCGUGGGGAGCAAACAGG